CCUACGGGAGGCAGCAGUGAGGAAUAUUGGUCAAUGGGCGCGAGCCUGAACCAGCCAAGUAGCGUGAAGGAUGACUGCCCUACGGGUUGUAAACUUCUUUUAUAAAGGAAUAAAGUGAGGCACGUGUGCCUUUUUGUAUGUACUUUAUGAAUAAGGAUCGGCUAAGUCCGUGCCAGCAGCCGCGGUAAUACGGAGGAUACGAGCGUUAUCCGGAUUUGUUGGGGGUAAAGGGAGCGUAGAUGGGUGGUUAAGUCAGUUGUGAAAGUUUGCGGCUCAACCGUAAAAUUGCAAUUGAUACUGGCAGUCUUGAGUACAGUUGAGGUAGGCGGAAUUCGUGGUGUAGCGGUGAAAUGCGUAGAUAUUAGGAAGAACUCCGAUUGCGAAGGCAGCUUACUAAACGGCCACUGACGUUGAUGCUCGAAAGUGUGGGGAUCAAACAGGAUUAGAUACCCGGGUAGUC
rnacentral:rRNA from 1 species